CCUGGAUAUGGCACAUACUUGUAACCCCUGCUACCAGGGAGGCUGAAUCUAAUGGAUCACAUAAGUUCUGAGCUGCAGUGGGCUAAGCUUAUGAGGUGUCUAUGCUAAGUGUGGCACCAGUAUGGCGAGCCCCUGGGAGCAGGGUCCACUGGGCUUCCUAAGGAGGGGAAAAUCUGGCCAGGAUCAGAAGUAGAGGAGGUCAGAGCUCCUGUACCAAUCAGUAAUGGGUUCAGGCCCAUGAGUGGCCACUGCUCUUCUAGCCUGGGUGAAAUAGGGACACCCAGUUUCC
rnacentral:SRP_RNA from 1 species